rnacentral:lncRNA from 1 species
AGUGACAUGAGAGUUGCUCUGGUAGCAGUGGAAAUGCUACUUGUAAAACCAUCCUUAGCUCCAGGAUCGUAGAGCUAUCACUGAGACAAUUGCGCAGUGAGUGACAAGAGAGAUAAGCGGAGAAUGUGAGCCAUCUAUGAGACAGAGGACAACUUCAAUAAAAAACACCAGGUCAGCGGAUAAGACCAUGUCACUCACAGGUUUGUGACUUGAGGCCUGAGCACCAAUGAUCCACUCCACAUCAGUGGAGAAUGUUGGAAAGUAAGGACGCUGUGGACAUUUUCUGAAGUUGGAGAAAUGGAAUGGUGGAGAAGCCAGUAUUGGGGUACCAUGAGUGGAGCAGAGUUGACUACAAAUCUCAAUAAAGCUUUUCAACUGUA